GACGUAGGGCGCGAGCGUUGUCCGGAUUUAUUGGGCGUAAAGAGCUCGUAGGCGGCUUGUCGCGUCGUCCGUGAAAACCUGCGGCUCAACUGCAGGCUGGCGGUCGAUACGGGCAGGCUGGAGUUCGGUAGGGGGAGACUGGAAUUCCUGGUGUAGCGGUGAAAUGCGCAGAUAUCAGGAGGAACACCGAUGGCGAAGGCAGGUCUCUGGGCAUUAACUGACGCUGAGGAGCGAAAGCAUGGGGGAGCGAACAGG
rnacentral:rRNA from 1 species